UAAUAGCUCACUAGUCGAGAGGUCCUGCGCCGAAAAUGUCCGGGGCUGAAACACGACACCGAAGCUUAGGAAUCACAUAGUGAUUGGUAGAGGAGCAUUCUUAAAACCGACGAAGCUGUACCGGAAGGAGCAGUGGAGGGAUAAGAAGAGAGAAUGCCGGAAUGAGUAGCGAGAGGAAGGUGGGAAUCCUUCCGGCCGAAUAUCUAAGGUUUCCAGAGUAAAGCUGAUCUGCUCUGGGUAAGUCGGGGCCUAAGGCGAGGUCGAAAGACGUAGUCGAUGGAUAACAGGUUGAAAUUCCUGUACCGCAUAUAAACAGAACUGUGGGGACACAGACAGGGAAUGGAAUCCGGGAGUGGAGAUCCCGGUGCAAGCGAGGUAGGAGUGCUGUUGGCAAAUCCGCAGCACGAUCUGAAGACGUGACGCGUACCGAACAUAAGUAGGGAAGUCCAGGCCCCUGGCUGUCAAGAAAAGCCGCUAUCGUUUUAUAUGUGCCCGUACCGCAAACCGACACAGGUGGAUGAGGAGAGAAUCCUAAGGCCGACGGGAGAAGUAUUGUUAAGGAACUCGGCAAAAUGACUCCGUAACUUCGGGAGAAGGAGUGCCAUGAGAGUGGCCGCAGAGAAAUGGCCCAAGCAACUGUUUAGCAAAAACACAGGUCUAUGCAAAACCGCAAGGUGAAGUAUAUGGGCUGACGCCUGCCCGGUGCUGGAAGGUUAAGGGGAGAGGUUAGCGCAAGCGAAGCUUUGAACUUAAGCCCCAGUAAACGGCGGCCGUAACUAUAACGGUCCUAAGGUAGCGAAAUUCCUUGUCGGGUAAGUUCCGACCCGCACGAAAGGCGUAAUGAUUUGAGCGCUGUCUCGACAAUGCACCCGGUGAAAUUGAAAUACCAGUGAAGAUGCUGGUUACCUGCGCCAGGACGGAAAGACCCCAUGGAGCUUUACUCCAGCUUGAUACUGGGAUUCGGUAUUGCAUGUACAGGAUAGGUGGGAGGCUUAGAAGUGGUUACGCCAGUAGCCAUGGAGCCGCUGUUGGGAUACCACCCUUGCAGUACUGGGUUUCUAACCAGCAGCCGUGACCCGGCUGGGGGACAAUGUCAGGUGGGGAGUUUGACUGGGGCGGUCGCCUCCGAAAGGGUAUCGGAGGCGCUCAAAGGU
rnacentral:rRNA from 1 species